rnacentral:rRNA from 1 species
UACGGAGGGGGCUAGCGUUGUUCGGAAUUACUGGGCGUAAAGCGCACGUAGGCGGCUUGGUAAGUUAGAGGUGAAAGCCUGGAGCUCAACUCCAGAAUUGCCUUUAAGACUGCCGAGCUAGCAGGUGAGAGAGGUGAGUGGAAUUCCGAGUGUAGAGGUGAAAUUCGUAGAUAUUCGGAAGAACACCAGUGGCGAAGGCGGCUCACUGGCUCAUACUGGGCGCUGAGGUGCGAAAGCGUGGGGAGCAAACAGG